rnacentral:lncRNA from 1 species
UCCCUCUCUUGCUCUCGGAUGCUACCUUUUCACGAUGAAGAUGGAGUGCAGUGGUUUCGGUGGAGUUGUGCAGAAAAGAAAUGGAAUUUGAUGAAGGUGGUGUCUCGGUAUUUAGAAAGGAGAAAUGGUUUGCGGUUUGGUUUUGUGCAGAGAAGGAAUUGGUAUUGUGUGUUGUGGUUGUGAAAUAGAGCAAAUGGUAUCGUGGUUUUGUGAUAUGAAUUGGAUUGGUAGUAUGAAGAAAUAUUGUGGGGCCGUGGUUUUAAGAUGUGAAAUAGAUUGAGUGGUAUUAGGAAGUAUUGUGGUUUGAGACGUGAAACAAAGAGAAUGAUACAAGUGCCGCUGUUUAGGAGAAUGGUUUGCGUGUAAGAGCGGCUUGCGUACAAUUUUGGUAAUAACUGCGUGAUUUGAUUUGCAGUCAGACGUCUCGUUUGGUUUGCAUGGAAAGGUAAGGUAAGGGUAUUUUAGUCUUUUCACUUCGCUCCUUAAUCUCAACUUAAUUUCGCAAAUCCGACUUAAUUCUAAAAAUUAUCCCCAAGCGCGAUUCAAACGCGUAGUUAUACUCUAAUAUACCUAAACCAUUUUUUUUUUAUCGAAUAAUUAUCGAUUAAACUUGAAUAUUAAGGUUCCUAGUAAUUCUUAUAUUAAUUAGCGAUUAAAUUUGUUAUUAGAAUUUCCAAUUAUUAUUUCUCAAGUAAUAGAGUUAGUCUAACUCGAAAUUUAUCGAUUUAGUAAUAUAAAGUCAAAUGAAAUAAUAAUUUAAUCCAAGGGUGCCAAUUUGCAUAUAAAAAUUAUUUUUACGCACUUACUUGAAAAACAAAGAAAGAUAAGGAUAUAUUUAUCGAAUUUUCACGCCUUAAGUAUGUUUAGUAUAUUAGAAUCAUAUUUAUCUAAAAUUCAUUGGUUUUCAUCUUAACGCGAAAAUUCUUAUUAACAUUUAACAUUAGCAACUAAUUGGAAUUAAUCAUAAGGAUUUAAAUAAUUUAUUUUAAGAUAGUAAAUUUAACAAUUCAAUUAUCAUAAUUUUAGCAUAAAGGGAUUAAGUAAACUAACAUUUUAUUUUAAGGCGAAAAAUUAUUCCAACCCUAAAGAUAUUAAUUUAGCCAAAUAAAACCAAGAAAUUUCAUAACUUAGGAAAAAUUAUAUUAUUUUUCACAUAAUCUAAUUUUACGUACUUAAUCGCAAACAAGUAAAAGUAAUGCUAGAAAUUAUUAAGGAAUAAAAGAAAUGCAAAUGAAAUAUGCACUGGCUUAUAUAUCUAUUUUCAGGGUUCUCACAUCCUCUCCUCCUUAAAAUGAAUUUUGUCCUCAAAAUUCUCACCUUCUUGCAUUUUUGGGCAACCGGCAAUUUGGUGCUCGCUGCUACCACACCUCAAGCACUUUCCUCCCUUUUUCCAGCAUUCGUUCUCAAUAUGACCAGCCUUCCUGCAAUACCCACAAGUUACUUGAGAGGUGGUCACACGGCCUCCUUGUGGGGCGUUCCUAAGUUGGUUCCUUCCACUUGGCCCUCCAUUAGCUCCAUUAUCUCUUUCUCCGGCACCUCUAGCACCAGCUCCUCUUGCUAGAGCGCCUCGUGGUGCUCCAUGAUUACUUACUCCACCCGUUCCUCGACCCACUUUGGCCGGUGGAGCAUUAUAAGUCGGCUCCCGACUGCUGCUAGGUGCAAAUCUUUUCUUGGCCUGGAAAGUUUUUACUUGAGCUCUGGCAACUUCAACCCUUUGAGCUCUCUCUACAGCUUCAGCAAAUGUGUCUAUUCGAACAGCAGCUAAUCCCUCCUGAAUUUCCACGUUCAGUCCCUGCACAAACCUCCUUACACGCCUUUGUUCCGUAGCUACCAAUUCCGGAGCAUAACGGGACAAUUUCGUGAAUUGAAUCUCAUAUUCGGCGACACUCAUCGCCCCCUGCCUACACUUGAUGAAAUCAUCCUCUCUUUUCUCUUGGAUGAGAGGAGGAAGAAAUUUGGCGUUGAAUUCCCUAGUGAAGUUCGCCCAAGUCCUGGGAGUAUGGUUCCUAUCCCAAUUAACCCUAACUAGGUUCCACCAGGAACGAGCAGCUCCCUCAAACUGGAAUGCUGCGAAAGUCACUUGCCUCUCUUCCGGAUAAUUUAGGGCGGCAAAAAUAUCAGAGAUCCUCUCCCACCAACCUUCGGCUACCUCAGGUUCUGGCCCUCCGUAGAACUUAGGAGGUCCAAACUUCAGGAAUCUCUCUAAUGCCCAAUCCUCAGAAUCGAUUGGGCCUCCUUGCUGAUGCACCGCUCCAUGAGCUUGGUGCUCAGUCAUGCGCUCUAACACAUCAGUUAUUCUAUUGAUUGCGGUGGCCACGGAAUCUCCGGCCACGUUUCCCUGAUCAUGGUCUGGGUUGACCUCAGGUUCCCUAUCACCACUACCCUCGGGGUGUUGCCUAGCUGGUCUCCCACGUCCUCUACCUCUAACUUGGAGAUCCAUAGCCUAGUUAUGCCUAUUAUUGGAAAAUAAGGCAUUUAGGCGAGAAUAGAAACAUUUAUUAUAUUAUUAUCCUUUCUGUAAGUAAAAUCAAUAUGAAAAUUGAGAAAAAGGAGAGUUAAUUAGUCAUGUAACUUAUUCAACUAUAUCAUGUAUUCAAAUCACUCAAAUCACAGUAUUCCUAUCUUAUUUUUAUUCGAUUCAUAUAUAUAUAUUACACUAUUCUAAGAUAUUUCUAAAUUCUCAAAAAAAAAAAAUUUUUUUUCAACAUUAUAACAAAGUAGACGCGUAAUCAUCAAAUUUCAUACACACAAUAUGAGUCACGUUGCAUACCAAUUUCAUACAACUUCAAGAGCCAAACAAUUCACGAAUACAUUCAAUAUUUUCAUACAUAACUCAAAUUUCAAUCUUUAUAAGCAUGAAAGAAGACAAUACAACAUUACACAAAUUAUUGUAACCACAUAGCUAAUAGCUCAACCCUUAGUUUAGAUUCAACUUAACCUUAGUGGAUUGUAGACCUACCACGUCUAAUAUUAAAUCUAAUAACAUGAUCAUUACUUAAGUACAUCAAUAGCUCUUAAGUAUUCUAAAUGAUCUCAAACAUUUCAUACAUUGGCUUUUCUAAUAACCUAACAACUAGUUAUCCUUAUCCUGUUGGACAUUAGCCCCAAAUAAUCCUCCAAUAAAACUUAAGAAGCCACAAUGUCAUCAAGAACUCACCUCACAUGGCAAAUUCACCUCAAAACAGAAUUGGCACUAAUCUUCAAGGUCUCACUAUUGGCUCUUCACCAUUAACUUUCAAAAGCUAGACUUGGUCCUUUCAUUUCAUUUUUCCAAAAUUAAUCGUGCUUUCUAGUCACGUCAUAAUGCAGUAUACUGGAUUCGUUUCAAUUGCAAAUACUCCAUUAAAUGUAAUAUUUCGUAUUCGGGUACAAGAAUCCGAAAAUAAGAUGAUUCACAACUCAAGCUGGCCAGUCCCAAGCAUGAAUCACCUAAAUUUGAGAUUCCUACCCAACAUACAUAUCUAAUAUCCCCAACUAUAGACUUUUGUUCCACACUUAACAAGCCAAUCCCCACAGUCCGAGAAUCUUUUCCCGGUUUGAGCUCGAUAAGAGCUCUGAUACCACCUGUGGCGACCCCACUUCCCCCUGAGGCGAACCAAAGGGUUGGCGGGCCGUCUGCCCAACUCUCGCCAGGACUCAUGCGAGCAAUCUAACCCGAAUCCUUUCGAAGAAUAACCUAAUAUAUUACAAAACAAUUUUUUUCCCGAAUAGGAUCAUCCUUAAAGCCACAUUAACUUCAGAGAUAGCAGUGAUAAAAUAACCAGUCGGUGCUCUUAAACGUCCUACGUGCUACGUACCAAAGUAUAAAGUCGCACCAAUCCGGAUAGAUACAUACAUAAAUCCCAAAUACAAACUUACAAACCAAGUAAUCGAAUUAGGGUUUACACAUUUUCCAGCUUCAAGUAGCAAUCCAAAAAGAAAAGUACAUUAUCCCAAAAAAAAAAACACAUUACAGCCCACAGAAUAAGUUAUAGUAGUCAAAUACAAUACAUAAGGAAAACAUAAGUAAGCAUCCAGCUUUCAGUUUCCAGGACCUGUUAAGGAAAACAAUAAACGUGGGGUGAGCUAAAGCUCAGUGGUGCCCCAAAUCAUGCAAUCACUUAAAUCAAACAACGGAUAAUGACUUAAUAAUUUUAAACAGUUAGGAAAGCGUAUAACAGCACAAUGUAGGAUACAGGGGCUCUCAGGAGCCAUUCUCCUUGCUUGAUCAGAAAUUACCGUAGUCGACCCUCCGUCAACUCUCACAACUUAAAGUCCAUGUAGAUACUCUUAUUUUUCUUAGCUCCGGCCACCGAACAUACCCCAGCUCCGGGCCCGCACGACAAAAUAAAUGAGAGCGGUAAUACUCGAGUAUACCUGGGACUGGUCGAGAGAUUUCCUCAACGACGUUGCGUCCAGCGAGAGAUUAGUAUAGACUGGUCGAGGGAUUCACCCAGCGACGUUGCGUCCAGCAUGAUAUUAGUACAAGCAGGAUAUUCACGAAAACAUUUCAAGCAAGUCACCACUCGAACGGCUAAUGUGGUAAAGUACACAUAGCUCACUUCGAUGGAUCAAAACCAUAUUUCCAAAUAUCACAUAUCAAGCCGAGAAAGCGCAUUAAUCAGGUAAGCAUAGAUCAAGCAGGGACACUCACCAAGAAUGGAGUUCAGAUAUCAAGUUGGGAAUCGAAUUCUGCGUCCUCGAAAUAUCCUAAAACCAAAAAUUUGAAACUAUAAGUUUCUACUCAGUUUUUUAAGCUUAUAGCCAUUGAGGUAUAUUUAAUAUACUACUAGUUCACUUUCCCUUUGAAAGAUCAAGGGUUCCUUAGAUUAAAACUUGACAACAGUAGAAAAGAUAUUUCUUAUGGUUUUCCUUGAGGUACUUUUCUAAAAUAAAGUAACUAGUAUUAUUUUAUUGAAAUAAGUCAAUAAACCUCUGAAUAUCAAAGCUAGAAAGUUACUUUGAACAUUUCUCUAAAGAUACGGCUUUUUGCAAGAUUUAUUUCCAAAAACUAUUUUUCCUAAAAAAAUAGAGUUUUCUUGCCGAGCAAGUCUCCCAGGCUUUUCGCUAAAAUUUGUAAAACUCGUAUUUUGAAAUUUUUCCUAAAGUUAGCUAUCCAAUUGUAAAGCUUAAGGAAAGAAAAGAAAUUGAAAUAAGACCUAGAAUUUUCAAAAGUUAUAGCAUUAAAAUACUAUAGCUAUCAAGACUAGCUUGAGCUAAAGGAAAUUAUCGGGUUGAAAGUUUUAGGCAAAACACUAGAUAUUGAGUUUUUAUAUUAUACUACUAGCUGGAAAAUAUUUUUGAUUACUUUGACCACAGACACUCGAGUUCGCAAGAUCGAUACAACUUCCACAGUUCCGAUUCCAUCAUGAAAUCAUAAUAUGGAUCAAAAUAUGGCGAAAAUUAUAUAACAAAUUACUAGGGUUUCGUCAAUCAUUAGCCCUAGAUUUCAACAAGUGCAUUUCUGAAUAAAAUAAAAUGAUCAACCAAGGCUUCAUCAAUCAUUAGCACUUGGUUUCAGCAAGCCCAUCAUAAGCAAAUAAAAUAAAAGUAAAGCCUCCAAGACAUUCCAACAAUUUACUUUCGUCACCCUGUAAUACUUGUAAAAUCAUUCAAAUGGCCAAGGGCUUCAUCAAUCAUUAGCUCUUGACAAUAUCAACCACUUCCAACCACAAUUUAAUCAAGAAUUUAAACUACAGGUAAGCUAAAAUCUCAACCCAAAACCCAAUUUCUAUUUCUCAAAGAAACAGGACAUUCAUGCAAAACAGUCCACUUUAAAAAUUCACAGACAGUAGUACACAUGGAGGAAAAAUACGAAAUUUCUACAGGACAAAGGCCUAUGAUUCUAGUUUCAAACGCCACUGAUGGCGCCUUAAACGGAUUUUCCUACACCAAGAUAUCAACAUUUUAUUGAGACUGGUCAGGGUAUCCAAAAAUCUGAAAUUUCAAUUUUUCACUUGUGAAAAUUCCUUUUUCUCUUUUAACACCAAAAUGUUUUUAUUCAAACCAUCUUUAUACUUCUUGUAGAACUUCAAAACAACAUUUUCCAGGCAUUGCCAUCCAUUAUAUGUCCAAGAAAAUUUCCAAAAAUCCAAGUUGAUAUUUCAACUCAACUUUCGGCAGCCACAAGAAAGUUUCCAGCAUUUGUAUACCCACAUGUUUGGUUAAAUCAUUCAAGAUAUCAAAUAUUUCCUUGCUAAACAAAUUAUACAAUUUAAAACUUACAACCCUUUUGUACUUCCAAACCAUCAUACUUCCAGGAAAAUAAAAUAAAUUACCAAAAAAAAACCAAUUAAACUCCAAAGACAAACUGAAAUUGCUGGUUCAACCUGGCUAGCGGUCUCCAACAUUUUCCCAGCAACCAAUACGCUUUAAAUCAAAUUUUCCCUUGGUUUAAACAUGGUGCUAGGUACUCAAUUUCAGCAUAUAAACACCUAGCUAGUUGUUAAAAAUUUCCACUUCAAAACCAGGUUCAUAUAACAAUUUAAAAAAAAAAAUCAGAAAUCUCAUCCAACUAGUUACGGUUGAAUCAUGCAUGAAGGCUUUCUGUUUUCAUUUCAUUUUAUGGUUUUAAACAUGCCUUUAACCUCUCAAUUUCCUUAUAUACUUAUCUGGCUAGCAAGUAAACGUUUCCAGUUCAGAAAUCAAGCUCAAACAACAACCGUUAACAUCAAAAUUUUCCAAAAUUUCCCUGCUUGACCCGGUUGAUCAUGCCCUGAGGCAGAUUGCACUCUUAAUUUUAUUUCCCUGUUUUAACAAACUAAUCGGCCCCAUGUAGAGCCUAAUUACUUGUUAUUAGCUAUCUAAUUAUGAUUAUAAGCUUAAACCACAAAAUUAACACCAAAUAAACCAGAUCAAAGCGGAAAUAUCAAGUCAAAUUCUCGGCAGAACUUUUACUUCCAAAGCAGAAUUUUUCUAAGACUUUGAUUUCAUUAACCGGCUGCCUAAAAUUACAUGCAACCUCUGAUAAGACUUCCUCUGCUAAUACUUAACUUAAUUAGCCCAGAAAUUUACCUCAGAUACACUCCAAACCUACGCACAGAAAUCUGGAAUUUUCUUCUUUCCUCUCGGCUCUCACGCACCCUGUUUGGUCCUGCGUUCAAUUUGCAGUUGGAAAUGGUGUUGUGAUGAAGGUGGUUGCAGCUGGUGGAUGUUGGUCUGAGGUUGACAAAGGUAGUGUUGUUUCCCUGGUCUCUUCCCUCAGCCUACGGACAGAGUAGAGACAAAAUGAAAAUGCAGCUCGCGGCUUUUCUUCAGUCGAUACUCACGAGGAGCAGCUCUCCCUCUCUUGCUCUCGGAUGCUACCUUUUCACGAUGAAGAUGGAGUGCAGUGGUUUCGGUGGAGUUGUGCAGAAAAGAAAUGGAAUUUGAUGAAG